UGGCGGUAUAGCUUAGUUGGCUAGAGCGUUCGGUUCAUACCCGAAAGGUCAUAGGUUCGACUNAUAUCGCGGA
rnacentral:tRNA from 1 species